rnacentral:rRNA from 1 species
AAGAAACUAACAAGGAUUCCCCUAGUAACGGCGAGUGAACCGGGAAGAGCUCAAAUUUGAAAUCUGGCGUCCUUCGGGCGUCCGAGUUGUAAUCUACAGAAACGUUUUCCGUGCCGGACCGUGUCCAAGUCCCUUGGAACAGGGUAUCAGAGAGGGUGACAAUCCCGUACUUGACACGACGACCGGUGCUCUGUGAUACGUUCUCUACGAGUCGAGUUGUUUGGGAAUGCAGCUCAAAAUGGGUGGUAAACUCCAUCUAAAGCUAAAUAUUGGUGGGAGACCGAUAGCGAACAAGUACCGUGAGGGAAAGAUGAAAAGCACUUUGGAAAGAGAGUUAAACAGUAUGUGAAAUUGUUGAAAGGGAAACGAUUGAAGUCAGUCGUGACCGUCGGGUUCAGCCGGUUCUGCCGGUCUACUCCCUUCGGUCGGGUCAACAUCGGUUUUGACCGGCGGAUAAGGAAGGGAGGAAUGUGGCACCCUCCGGGGUGUGUUAUAGCCUCCCGUCGCAUACGUCGGUCGAGACCGAGGAACGCAGCUCGCCUUUAUGGCCGGGGUUCGCCCACGUCCGAGCUUAGGAUGUUGACAUAAUGGCUUUAAACGACCCGUC